rnacentral:rRNA from 2 species
AAAAUGACUCUCGGCAAUGGAUAUCUCGGCUCUUGCAUCGAUGAAGAACGUAGUGAAAUGCGAUACUUGGUGUGAAUUGCAGAAUCUCGUGAACCAUUAAGUCUUUGAACGCAAGUUGUGCCCGAGGCCUUGUGGCCGAGGGCACGCCUGCUUGGGCGUCAUUG